AUUGAACGCUGGCGGCAGGCUUAACACCUGCAAGUCGAGCGAGCGGCGGACGGGUGAGUAAUGACUGGGAAACUGCCUGAUGGAGGGGGAUAACUACUGGAAACGGUAGCUAAUACCGCAUCCCAUCAGAUGUGCCCAGAGGGGAUUAGCUAGUAGGUGGGGUAAGGGCUCACCUAGGCGACGAUCCCUAGCUGGUCUGAGAGGAUGACAGGCCACACUGGAACUGACACGGUCCAGACUCCGACGGGAGGCAGCAGGGGGGAAUAGUGCACAAUGGGCGCAAGCUUGAUGCAGCCAUGCCGCGUGUGUGAAGAAGGCCGUCGGGUUGUAAAGCACUUUCAGCGAGGAGGCGUUACUCGCAGAAGAAGCACCGGCUAACUCCGGGCCAGCAGCCGCGGUAAUAC
rnacentral:rRNA from 1 species